AGAGUUUGAUCCUGGCUCAGAUUGAACGCUGGCGGCAUGCCUUACACAUGCAAGUCGAACGGUAACGCGGGGCAACCUGGCGACGAGUGGCGAACGGGUGAGUAAUACAUCGGAACGUGCCCAGUAGUGGGGGAUAGCCCGGCGAAAGCCGGAUUAAUACCGCAUACGACCUAUGGGUGAAAGCGGGGGAUCGCAAGACCUCGCGCUAUUGGAGCGGCCGAUGUCAGAUUAGCUAGUUGGUGGGGUAAAGGCCUACCAAGGCGACGAUCUGUAGCUGGUCUGAGAGGACGACCAGCCACACUGGGACUGAGACACGGCCCAGACUCCUACGGGAGGCAGCAGUGGGGAAUUUUGGACAAUGGGGGCAACCCUGAUCCAGCCAUGCCGCGUGCGGGAAGAAGGCCUUCGGGUUGUAAACCGCUUUUGUCGGGGAAGAAACGGUCUGCGCUAAUACCGCGGACUAAUGACGGUACCCGAAGAAUAAGCACCGGCUAACUACGUGCCAGCAGCCGCGGUAAUACGUAGGGUGCAAGCGUUAAUCGGAAUUACUGGGCGUAAAGCGUGCGCAGGCGGCUUUGCAAGACAGAUGUGAAAUCCCCGGGC
rnacentral:rRNA from 1 species